CACCCUUGGUGGACAGGUUUCAGCAGAGUUUCCAGACUAAGACUAGGAAGAAAGGCCUGAUAAUCUACUUCCAAAAAUUAGCCAGUGAAAACCUUGUGUGGAUCAUAACAGAACAUUAUCUGACUUACUUGCUUUGGACACAUCAUUAGGAGGGAUCAAUUGCUAGAGGAAGACAUCAUAUUUGGUGAAGUAUAGGGCCAACGAGGGCAUGGGAGACCCUCAGUAAGAUGGAUUGCCACAAUAGUCACAAGGAUGGACUUGAACAUGCCAGCGAUUCGGAGGAUAAUAGCCAGGACCAGGCAGUGUUUCAUUCUGUUGUACGUUUGGAGUCGGCUCCACGACAGGCUACUUUGUGUUAUGUGCGACUUGGUCACAUGUGUGGGAUUCUUGCUGACUUCUACACAAAGGAGCCUUUCUCUAGCUGCCUGGCUGGGGCCUGAGUCUCUUCUCCUUCUCUUAUUCGUCUGUAAACUGGUUUCCUUCCUUCUCGCUUCCCGGGACAGGAAGCAGAUAAAAAGUCUGCUUCUCUCUUCCUGGGGCUUUCCUGUCUGGAAGCUCCUGUGACUACGUCUCUCUCAGGAGACUUCAGGCAUCUCACUGGGCUGCAUCCAGUUUUGAAGUUUUCCUCAAGUGUUGCCUGGCCCUUGGCUGCUGACUCAUGCGUACCGAAGAGUGCCUAAAGUGGAAAUCGGAGGCACGCAGAGAAUAGGACGUGCCCCCCUCCUGAUCUACCAGGAUGUCAGUUUCUUCAACAAAGCCUUCUCCAGUGGGAGGCCAGUGAUGGCAGCGAUCCCACUCAGGACACCACAUCACAUUUAGUCGUCAUGUCUCCUUAGCCUCCUCUUGGCUGCCAUGGUGUCUCAGACUUUUCUUGUUUAUGACGACCUUGACAGUUUUGAGGAGAACUGGUCAGGUACCUUGUAGAAUGUCCCUCAGUUGGGAUUGGUGUGAUAUUUUACUCGUAACUGGACUGGGGUAAUAUGUUUUUGGAAGAAAGACCACAGAGAGAAAGUGACAUUCUUGUCACAUCAUAUCAAAGGUACAUGCUAUCACUUUGAGGUAUCAUUGUUGAUGUUGACCUUGAUCACCUGGCUGAGGUAGUGUGGGUCAGGCUUCUCCACUGUAAACUUACUCUUUCUCCUUUUCCAUUCUGUGCUCUUUGUAAGAAAGUUAUUAUUUGCAGCCCACACUUAGAGUGGGGAGUUACACUCUACCUCCUUAAGGGGAAAGUAUUUACAUAAAUUAUUUGGAAUCAAUAGAUUUUUUUUCAUUCUUUAAAAAUUUUUUUAUUGUGGUAAAAAAUACUUUAAAAAACGUGCCAUCUUGACAAUUUCUACAUGUAUAAUUCAAUAACAGCAUCAAUUGAUUUGUAACACUUAAAAAUUUGACGAUCAUUUCUUAGGAUUAUCAAACAUCCUGUCAAUAUUCAAAUUUCCAGUGAUCUCAUAUACGUCAUAAAGGUUUAAUAAAGACAUUUUAACACUGUCUGUUUGAUUCAGAAUCCAGAUAAUGUCCACACUCUGUGAUUGACUGAUGUAUCUUUUAAGCCUCUUUUAAUCCAUACCAAAACCAAAAAACCAAACCCAUUGCCAUCAAGUUGAUUCCGACUAAUAAUGACCCUAUAUGGCAAAGUAGAACUGCCCCAUAGGGUUUCCAAGGAGCAGCUCGUGGAUUCGAACUCCUGACCUUUUGGUUAGCAGCCAAGCUCUUAACCACUGUGCCACCAGGGCUCCUUUAAUCUAUAGGCCCCUCCAUUUCUUUUUUUUGUUGUUGUUGCAAUUUAUGUGUUAAAGAAACUGGUGGUUUGUCCUGUAGCAUUUUCUGCAGUCUAAAUUUUGUUGGUUGCAUGCCCUUGGUGCUAUUUAGCAUGUUUCUCUGUCCCCUAUAUUUUCUAUAGUAUUGUAGUUGGAUCUAGAGCAGGGGUUGGCAAACUUCUUCUCUGAAGGGCCAGAUAGUUAAUAUUUUCGGCUUUACAGGCUGUAUGGUCUCUGUCACAAUUCCUCAGCUCUGCCAUUGUAAACAAACGAGCAGGGCCAUGCUCCAGUAAGACUUUAUUUGGGACCCUGGUUUGCAGACCCUGAUCUAGAAGCUCGAUCAGAUUCAGGUCUGAUUUUUUCGGCAAGCCUGCCUCAUUCGUACCGUGUUCUCUCACUAAGAAGCUCUUAAUGUUUGGUUGUUGCCAAUUGCUUAACUUGAAAAAUGAAAAAAUAGCUCAAAAAUGAAAGUGAAGUUCACCCAUGAUCCCACCACAUUUUUGGGGAAGUGUACAAAUUAAGAAGUGAAAUCUCUCUUCUCCCCCUCCAUACCACUCCCUCCCCCUAACAGAGCCUCAGUUAGCAGUUGGGUACAGUUUCUUCCAGACCUUUUAAUAUAUGUAUAAGAACAUUACAGCCCUGGUGGUGUAGUGGUUGGCAGUUUGAAUCCACCAGUUGCUCCUUGGAAACCCUAUGGGGCAGUUGUACUCUGUCCUAUAGGGUCACUAUGAGUUGGAAUUGACUCGACAACAACAGGAAAAAAAAAAAAAUUAUCUGCAUACAGAUAUACGCAUGUAAUCUGUGUGGAAGUUGCUUCCUGUCUGCCUCACAAGAUGUGUCUGGGGAGGAAAUUGGAGUAACUGACCCCCAUCUCCACCUCUGGGUGACUGCUGACUCACUUACCCUCUUUGCUGCCUGAGAGACCAUAGUGAAGAAGUGGGAGUGGACUAAUGUCCCCCAGACCACUAUGGAGAGGGGGCAUCCUCUCUUCUUUCUGAAUUCUGUCUUAAUCUUUUCUCAGAAUAAACACUACACCCCAGAGAAUUUUAACGGACUCCUUCUUGGAACGUUCAGGAAAUUUCCCACAAGGAUUAAGGGAGGGGGCAGAAACUAGACAGGCCCCUGGUUGGGCCAAUUUGCUCCCUUAUGCUGGGCAGAGGCAGGCUGGGUGGGGCUCAUGGUGGCCCAUGGGAACUCCUUGGUUCAUUCAUUUUCCCAAGUUGGCUCCCUUUUUGUCCUUUGUUGUCAGGCACCUUGUCCCACUCCUCCCCUGGAUACACCAUCCUACGGUAUAAGAAGUCCUAGCACCUCCAGAUGUCAUGAGUGGGAAUGGACUCAAGCAACCAACAACAAAGCACUUGCAGUCCCCUUUAGGGACUUGCAGAGUCAGCUGCCCAUGGCGUCCACUAGAUGGCGCUCUCUGCCACUCAGUUCUCCAAGCUUCGCUUUGGGUGAUGGUGGGGAGAGGGACAGAGCUCUGGUGUGUUUCUGUUGAUUCUGGGGGCCAGGGAGGGGUAAGCCCUGGUGCAGAGGACAAGAGAUGGGGCAGUCAAAAGCUGGAAACAUGCAGCUCACAGACUGGGGUGAACCCACUGAACCCACUGCCGUCGAGUCAAUUCUGACUCAUAGCGACCCUAUAGGACAGAGUAGAACUGCCCCAUAGAGUUUCCAAGGAGCACCUGGCGGAUUUGAACUGCCGACCUUUUGGUUAGGAGCCGUAGCACUCACCACUGGGGUGAGAAGGUGUGACUCUCAGACUCUGGCCAGUUCCACAUCCCGAAGAGACUUGCAAAGCUGGUCAUGGAGAACUGGCUUUUGAACUCCUAGGUGGCCACCCUCCCCUGCCCCCAGCCUAUCAAAGAGGUGGGGAGGCCACAGGUGAAACUGGAAUUUGGAGAAACUUCUUUAGUGAGAAUGGACGGUGGCCUGUAAGUGUCCCACCCCUUCCUCAAGUUUCAACAUGGAAAGGCAUUACCAGAGCCACUCAGGGAGCUUGAUUUGUGUCCCCUGUGAACAUGGCAGGAGCCCUGGUGGCACAGUGGUUAAGCGCUGGGCUGCUAACCUAAAGGUGGGCUGUUCAAACCCACCAGCUUUUCCAUAGGAGAAAGAUGUGGUCGUCUGCUUCUGUAAAGAUUUACAGCCUUGGAAACCCUGUGGGGGAGUUCUACUCUGUCUUAUAGGGUCAACUUUGAAUUAGAAUCGACUCUGGCAGAAGUGGGUUUUGCGGGGGACAUGGCCAGUGGGUGUUUGACAUGCACAAGAGACAAUGAAAUUGUGAUUGGUUGGUGAAUCUGCCUGAGGCAUCGGAACAGAAGGCUGUGGGUCGGAAUUAGGGAUUCUGCACCUCCUCGUGGCUGCUGUUGUGCUGUGGUUUCCUGAUCAGAUCUUUUCCCGGGGGCUGCUGCCCCUGCCCCCUGCUCUGGGGAAGUGGCCUCAGCUGGAAAGUUCUGGAGAUAGUCCACAGCCAGUAACUAACUGAUAAACUAAAACCAAACCAAAUCCGUUGCCGUCGAGUCGAUUCCAACUCAUAGUGACCCUACAGGACAGAGUAGAACUGUCCCAUAGAGUUUCCAAGGAGCACCUGGUGGAUUUGAACUGCUGACUUUCUGGUCAGCAGCCGUAGUACUUAACCACUACGCCACCAGGGUUUCCAACUAACUACUGAUAUAGGGACGUAAAAGGCUGCUCUCUUAAAUGAGAAUGCGGGGGUUUCUGCACGUGGAUCUCCUGUUGGCCAGCUGGUCAUGAGGCCCCCAUCACUGGUGGAGGGUGGACCUGACUGUCCCUGGCAUGUGGUAGUGGUGCAGUUGCUCAGACCUGGGACAGGAUACAGGUGGCCAGGAGAUGUGGCUUGGGCAAUAUCCUAGGUGUUUGAGAGAUAUUGGGAACAAUCAUAAUCACGAAGACUGUGGAAAGGGGGGAGGAGGGGCUGUGGUGGAUAUCAUGGAUACUUUGUAAAGAGAAAGGGUAGGUCCAGGGCAAUGGAUCACCAACGGAAGGCAAAGGGAGUCAGGAGGAUUCCUUGGCAGCACUGAAGGAGAUGCUGCUCUUCUAUAGCCAGAGGCAGAGAGCUGCAGAGACAAGCCCAGGACUUGCCUGGACUAGUAAGUGUCAGAACUCCAGAGCAGGCUGAGUUCUCAGCCCAGGGAAGCCUCCCCUCCUAUACGCAGGGGGCUCCUGAAGGGGAGGGAGUGGGACCCUGAGGCCUGUGAUGGAGCUGUCCGGGGAGAUGUCUUGAGAACCUUGAACCCCCAGAUUCUCCUCUGCCCUUUGGUUUGCAGAAGUGACCCACUCGCCAUGUUGGAAGAUAGAAGCCUCCCCUCUUGUUUAAAAACUAUGCAGCAACCUCAAAUAAAGGAAGCUUCUUUAUUACACAACACUUAUCUUCCCCAAACUGGGGCCAAAUCUCAGCAUGACCUGACCAGAGUAGUGCUUUGUCUGCUGUCAUGGGUUGAAUGGUGUCCCCCUAAAAUAUCUGUCAACUUGGCUAGGUCGUAAUUCCCAGUAUUGUAAGGGUUGUCCACCAUUUUGUCAUCUGAUGUGAUUUUCCUGUGCUGUGAAUUCUAUCACUAUGAUGUAAUGAGAUGGAUUAGCAGCAGUUAUAUUGAUGAGACCUAUAAGAUUAGAUUUUUAUAAGAUUAGAUAGGGUCUUAAGCCAAGCUCUUUUGAGAUGUAAAAGAGAGGAUCAAGCAGAAAGAUGGAGGGACCUCAUAUCACCAAGAAAGCAGCCCCAGGAGGAGACCUCGUCUUUUGGACCCAAGAUUUCUGCUCAGAGAAGCUCCUUGACCAGGGGAAAAUUGAUGACAAGGACCUUUCCCCAGAGAUGAAAGAGAGAAAACCUUCCCCUAGAGCCGAUGCCCUGAAUGUGGACUUUUAGCCUACUAGGAUCUGAGAGAAUAAAUUUCUCUUUUUUAAAGCCAUCCACUUGUGGCAUUUCUGUUAUAGCAGCACUAGAUGACUAAGACACCUGAUAAGGGAGAAGAGGGACUAAUCAGCAAAGAAGCAGUAGAACCUGGCCAACAGGGGCGGGUAGGGAGUGGAAGACUAUUCCUAGGAGUGGAUUCUGAAGGUUCUGGAUCAAGGGAGUCUGAAUAUAAACUGGAUAAGGGAGAGUUUAUCAAUACGGAGAUACUAUCUUAUGACAUAGACUUUAAUCCGGAUAAAACCAAACCCCUUGCCAUCAGAUCAAUUCUGAUUCACGGUGAUCCAAUAGACAAGGUAGAACUGCCCCGUAGGGUUUCCAAGGCUGAAAUCUUUACAGAAGCAGACUGCCAUAUCGUUCUUCUGCUGAGCAGCUGGUGGGUUUGAACUCCCAGCCUUUUGGUUAGCAGCUGACCACUUAACCAGGACUUGCCAUAGGCUUUAAUCCCCUAGAAAGCAAGGCUUCGAAUCAGUUCGGAACAGUUCAGUAAUUGCUGACAUAAGUGAGGGCAGCAUACAUGUUGCAUAGUGACCAAAUCUGCUGCCCAUUAAAUUUUGACCUGAGUUGGAAACAAACCAAGAAUAGGUUUGACACGUUGAACCCUAAUGACCGACGACCAGAUGAUUUUUGGAAUGAUAUCAAGGACAUCAUACAUGAAGAAAGCAAAGGGUCAUUAAAAAGACAGGAAAGAAAGAAAAGACCAAAAUGGAUGUCAGAAGAGACUCUGAAAGUUACUUUUGAAUGUAGGUAGCUAAAGUGAAAGGAAAAAACGAUUAAGUAAAAGAGCUGAACAAAAGAUUUCAAAGGGCAGCGAGAGAAGGCAAAGCAUUGUAGUGAAAUGCACAAAGACCUGGAGGUAGGAAACCAAAGAUCGGGAGGUAGGUAGCAUUUGUGAAGCUGAAAGAACUGAAGAAAAAACUCAAGCCUCAAGUUGCAAUAUUGAAGGAUUCUAUGGGGAAAAUAUCAAACAACACAGAAAGCAUCAAAAGAAGAUGGAAAGAAUACGGUCACUGUACCAAAAAAGAAUUGGUCGACAUUCAGCCAUUUUAGGAGGUAGCAUAUGAUCAGGAACCGAUGGUACUGAAGGAAAGGUCCAAGCUGCUCUGAAGGCAUUGGCGAAAACAAGGCUCCAGGAACUGACGGAAUACCAAUUGAGAUAUUUCAACGAACAGAUGCACUGCUGGAAGCGCUCACUCGUCCGUGCCAGGAAAUUUGCAAGACAGCUACCAGGCCAACUGACUGGACGAGUUCCAUAUUUGUGCCCAUGCCAAAGAAAGGUGAUCCAACAGAACGUGGAAAUCAAUGAACAAUAUCAAUAGUAUUACACAUAAGUAUAAUUUUGCUGAAGAUCAUUCAAAAGCUACUGCAGCAGUACGUCCACAGAGAACGGCCAGAAAUUCAAGCCGGAUUCUGAAGAGGAUGUGGAGCCAGGGAUAUCAUUGCUGAUGUCAGAUGGAUCCGGGCUGAAAGCAGAGAAUACCAGAAAGAUAUGUACCUGUGUUUUAUUGACUUUGCAAAGGCAUUCAACUGUGUGGAUCAUAACAAAUUAUGGAUAACAUUUCGAAGAAUGGGAAUUCCAGAACACUUAAUUAUGCUCAUGAGGAACCUGUACUUAGACCAAGAGGCAGUUAUUCAAACAGAACAAGGGGAUACUGCAUGGUUUAAAGUAGGAAAGGUGUGCAUUAAAGUUGCAUCCUUUCACACUACUUAUUCAAUCUGUAUGCUGAGCAAAUAACCCAAGAAACUGAACUAUAGGAAGAAGUACGGGGCAUCAGGAUUGGAGGAAGACUGAUUAACAACCUGCGUUACACAGAUGACACCACUUUGCUUGCUGAAAGCGAAGAGGACUUGAAGCACUUACUAAUGAAGAUCAAAGACCCCAACCUUCAGUACGGAUUACACCUCAACACAAAGAAAACAAAAAUCCUCAUAACUGGCCAAUAAGCAACAUCUUGAUAAAUGAAGAAAAGAUUUCAUUUUACUUGGAUCCACAAUCAAUGUCCAUAGAAACAGCAGUCAAGAAAUCAGCCAUAAAAAGGAAGGAAGUACUGACAGAUGCUACCGUGUGACUGAACCUCGAAAACACUGCGCUAAGUGAAAGAAGCCAGACACAAAAGGUCACACAUUGUACGAUUCCAUUUAUAUGAAAUGUGUGGAACAGGUAAAUCCACAGAGACAGAAAGCAGAGUGGUGGUUGUCAGGGGCUGGGGGUCGGGGGAGGAUGGGAGUUACUGCUGAACGGGUAUUGGGAUUUCUUGUUGGGAUGAUGAACAUGUUUUGGAACUUGAUAUAGAAGGUGGUUGUACAACAUUGUGAAUGAGCUAAAUGUCACUGAAAUGUUCACUUUAAAAUGUUAAUUUUAUGUUAUGAGAAUUUUACCUCAGUAAAGAAAAAAAAUCUCUUCUCCCUCAUCUGUCUUUCUUUCUGUCUCUAUCUCUGUCUCUGUCUCUGGAGCGCGUGUGUGCACACACUGGCCACUGCCAUCUUCCUGCUUGCACCAGGGUGAAGGGCAGCUUUAAAUGAACUGGAGGGCUGAAUUAUCACCUGGUCUUGGGUGUAGUAAUUACUGAACCAAGACUGGUCUUGACUUGAGAAGUGGCAUGUGACUUAUAUAAUAUGUCUAAGACCUGUGGGCCGGCCUGUGAUUUUGAUCUAAGUGGCUGGGAAAAAGGAGCCUCGGAGCAAGAACAGAAUUAUGCUGCCUUGAGGUAGUAUCUCCCGUCCCGUUCUAAGUAGCAGCUGCUGAUAUGUUGAUGGGCUCCCCAAAACCCUCUGUGGAGCUUCAGGGGAGCCUUUCCUCCCAUUAACAGAACACUUUCUUUCUUCUGACUUCUAUCCUGGCUAAACUAUUCAUCUUUUCAGAUCCUGGUUUUGUUACAAAGCUUUCUCUCAUUAACUGAUAAGCAUGAGUAGGACCAGAUCCACCUCUCCAGAAUCAGGGGUUUCUCUGGAUCCCUCCCUGUUCUCCCAGAGAAGGCAGGAGGCAAGACUGAGUGUGUUGGGAGGUGUCAUGGAUUGAAUUAUGUCCCUCUCCCCCGCAAAAUGUAUGUAUUAACUUGGCUAGGCCAUGAUUCCCAGUAUUCUGUGGUUGUCCUCCAUUUUGUGAUUGUAAUUUUAUGUUAAAGAGGAUUAGGGUGGGAUUGCAGCACCGUUAAAAGGUCACAUCUGUGAUCCAAUACAAAGGGAGUUUCUCUGGGGUGUGGCUUGUACCACCUUUUAUCUCAAGAGAUAAAAAGGAAAGGGAAGCUAGCAGAGAGUUGGGGACCUCAUACCACCAAUAAAGCAGUGCUGGGAGCUAAGCUUGUCCUUUGGACCUGAGGUUCCUGCGCUGAGAUGCUCCCAGACCAAGGGAAGACUGAUGACAACGACCUUCCUCCAGAGCAGACAGAGACAGAAAGGCUGCCCCUGGAGCUAGGGCCCUGAAUCUGGACUUCUAGCCUACUGGACUGUGAGAGAAUAAACUUCUCUUUGUUAAAGCCAUCCACUUGUGGUGUUUCUGUUAUAGCAGCACUAGAUGACUAAGAAAGGAGGUGGGAAGCAAGAAGGAAAUUUCAGCUCAUCCCUACUCUUAAAAAUAGGGUUACGCUAAUGUAAAAUGGUACAACCACUUUGGAAAUCGAUUUGGAGCUUCCUUAAAAAGCUAGAACUAGAACUACCGCACAAUCCAGCAAUCCCACUCCUUGGAAUAUAUGCUAGAGAAGUAAGAGCCUUCACACGAACAGAUAUAUGUACACCCAUGUUUAUUACAGCACUGUUUACAAUAGCAAAAAGAUGGAAGCAACCAAGGUGCCCAUCGAUGGAUGAAUGGCUAAAUAAAUUAUGGUAUAUUCACACAAUGAAAUACUAAGCAUCGAUAAAGAACGGUGAGGAAUCUGUGAAACAUUUCAUAACAUGGAGGAACCUGAAAGGCAUUAUGCUGAGUGAAAUUAGUCAGUUGCAAAAGGACAAAUAUUGCAUAACACCACUAUUAUAAGAACUUGAGAAAUAGUUUAA